AAAAAUGGACUUGGUGGGUCUUUGAAUUUAAAUAAAAUAAACAUGUAUAUGCAACACAAAAUAUUUAUAUUCCUUGUGUAAACAUAAUUUAAUUGAUUAGGAUGAAAAUGUUUUGUUUGAAUGUAAAAUGAACACAUUAUUCUCACAUUGAUUAAAAUUGAUUGAAUUGAAUAGUUAAAGCAAUAAAAUUGAGUAAGCAAACAAAACGGCACCUCCUGAGCAGCAGGGGCAGUAUAGCUCAAUGAGAAGGACGUCAACUGCCAUAAAAGAAGAAUAAACAUCGUUUGUUUUGGGCGCCAAAAUGAAGACUCAGCAGCAGUCAGUCAGAAGAACUCUCUCAGACGGACACCACGUUAUUAAAGUAAGUUCUAUUAUUUAUUUAUGUUCACUUUAUACGUGAUACAUCUUCACUAGAUAGACAGUUUUUUUACAAUAUGUAGUCAUUGCAAUGACUUGUAGUAAAAAUUAGUUUGGAGGAGGUUGGUGGAGUAAGUUAACGUUACAGUCAGUCAGUCAGUCAGUAAGUGUAAGGCUCAUAAAGAAAAACAGCGUUUUAAAAAUGUCAGCUGUAUAACGUUAUUUCUUGUUUGGUAGUUUUAUCCGAGUUGAAAACUGUCAGCUUUGAGUUGACUUUUGAGGCACUUUUUACUCAGCUGUUCUAUGGAAACGGUUCAGGACAAAUAAAACGCUAACCAAACGUUUUUAUUCUGUCCAGAGUAACGUUAUCCAUGUAAGUAAUUUACCAGAUGAUAUCAAUUGACUACAUUAAUAAUGACAUUGCGUAUUAAAAAAACUGUCUGCUUAAUCAGAUUAUCAGACCCGCGUCAGUUAUUCAUGACUUCGCUACGCCACGAGGCACGAGCAACACUUGAUUCAAUUAGAAAAAGCUUUUUUAAAUGUCUCGCGUGACGUCUGGUAUAUUAACUGAAAAAAUUGCUUUAUAGUGCCACACCUUAAAGCUGACAUUUUCAGAAGAGAACCUUGUUGUUUUAAGAUCUAAUUUUGUCCAAAAUUGCGUCCUAUGACAGAUAUAAUACUUAUUUCAUUAUUGCUCUGUGUAUGUGUGACCUUCAUCAUUUGAGGUUAUGUGUUGAUUUCACCUCUGAAUAUUUCCUCUUAUAGGUCCAUCAUCCUUUCAUACGCUACACACUCAAAAGCAUUGAUAAAUCCUGAAUUUAAAAGAAUCACUACUGUCUAAUGUUCCUGCGUGUCACCUGGACCUCCAAUCCAAAAACCUGACGAAACUCUUCUAUCAGAAAGGAGGACAGCUAGCAAAAAGACUUGGAACAAUCAAUGAUCAAAUGACAGAAGGCAUGGAUGAAGUCAGCAUCAGUGAGGUCAUUUGAAGACACCACUGUUGGGAUUUGUACUCUCAAACAACAUGCUUCUUGUGAUGAAGAAGAGGAUCUUUGUAUAGUCCUGGAAGGCAUGAAGGU